GGGACAAGAAUGAGGCACUCCAUACAUAUAGCAGAACUCUUGCAAAGUGACUGAAAGGACCCAGCAUGGACAUUCUAGAAAAACAUUUCCGACCUUGCUGUCAUAAAGAUAGACUCGUUUUAUUUGUUGUGUUUUGGAUUAGAGGGCUUUCUUCUGAUACUGAUGAAGUUAUUCUAAAGGAUGCUUUUGGACGAUGUGGUGAGCGAAUUGAAGGUGUUGGAUGGCAGAGUGUGCUACGCACACAAGCAAGAAAACAACUUGGAUCUUGGGU